rnacentral:rRNA from 1 species
AUUGAACGCUGGCGGCAGGCCUAACACAUACAAGUCGAGCGGAUGAAGGGAGCUUGCUCCUGGAUUCAGCGGCGGACGGGUGAGUAAUGCCUAGGAAUCUGCCUGGUAGUGGGGGAUAACGUCCGGAAACGGGCGCUAAUACCGCAUACGUCCUGAGGGAGAAAGUGGGGGAUCUUCGGACCUCACGCUAUCAGAUGAGCCUAGGUCGGAUUAGCUAGUUGGUGGGGUAAAGGCCUACCAAGGCGACGAUCCGUAACUGGUCUGAGAGGAUGAUCAGUCACACUGGAACUGAGACACGGUCCAGACUCCUACGGGAGGCAGCAGUGGGGAAUAUUGGACAAAGGGCGAAAGCCUGAUCCAGCCAUGCCGCGUGUGUGAAGAAGGUCUUCGGAUUGUAAAGCACUUUAAGUUGGGAGGAAGGGCAGUAAGUUAAUACCUUGCUGUUUUGACGUUACCAACAGAAUAAGCACCGGCUAACUUCGUG